AAUGUACUCCCUCCGUUCGGAAUUACUUGUCGCAUAAAUGGAUGUAUCUAGACGUAUUUUAGUUCUAGAUACAUCCAUUUCCGAGACAAGUAAUUCCGAACGGAGGGAGUAUCUG
rfam:Triticum aestivum genome assembly, contig: Triticum_aestivum_CS42_TGACv1_scaffold_434054_5DL